CGCCAUUUAUCGAAAAAAAAAAAAAAAAAAAAAAUGGAUGAGAAUGGAAAUAUGCGCUUUUUUCUCCAACUUGGUCGUUUUUUCUUUUUCUUUCCUUUUUUAUUUCUAUUUUUUGAUG